rnacentral:rRNA from 1 species
AUGAACGCUGGCGGCGUGCCUUAUACAUGCCAGUCGAGCGAACAGACGAGGAGCUUGCUCCUCUGACGUUAGCGGCGGACGGGUGAGUAACACGUGGAUAACCUACCUAUAAGACUGGGAUAACUUCGGGAAACCGGAGCUAAUACCGGAUAGUAUAUUGAACCGCAUGGUUCAAUAGUGAAAGACGGUUUUGCUGUCACUUAUAGAUGGAUCCGCGCCGCAUUAGCUAGUUGGUAAGGUAACGGCUUACCAAGGCAACGAUGCGUAGCCGACCUGAGAGGGUGAUCGGCCACACUGGAACUGAGACACGGUCCAGACUCCUACGGGAGGCAGCAGUAGGGAAUCUUCCGCAAUGGGCGAAAGCCUGACGGAGCAACGCCGCGUGAGUGAUGAAGGUCUUCGGAUCGUAAAACUCUGUUAUUAGGGAAGAACAAAUGUGUAAGUAACUAUGCACGUCUUGACGGUACCUAAUCAGAAAGCCACGGCUAACUACGUG